UUUCCUCGGGGCGCAGCAGUGAGGAAUAUUGGUCAAUGGUCGGGAGACUGAACCAGCCAAGCCGCGUGAGGGAGGAAGGUACAGAGUAUCGUAAACCUCUUUUGUCAGGGAACAAAGGCGGGGACGUGUCCCCGGAUGAGUGUACCUGAAGAAAAAGCAUCGGCUAACUCCGUGCCAGCAGCCGCGGUAAUACGGAGGAUGCGAGCGUUAUCCGGAUUUAUUGGGUUUAAAGGGUGCGCAGGCGGUCUGUUAAGUCAGCGGUCAAAUCCCGGGGCUCAAACCCGGCCCGCCGUGGAAACUGGCAG
rnacentral:rRNA from 1 species